rnacentral:misc_RNA from 1 species
UAUUCGAGCGUCAUUAUAACCCUCAAGCUCUGCUUGGUGUUAGGCUCCACCUACCAGGCGGGCCAUAAAAUCAGUGGUGGUGCCACCUAGCUUCAAGCAUAGUAAUACUUCCUGCUUUAGAAGACCUAGUUGGUUACCUACCAGCAACCCCAAUUUUAAAUGUUGACCUCGGAUUAGGUAGGGAUACCCGCUGAACUUAA